AUCAAGAAGCUUCUGAAUUAAGCAUCAAGAGCAAGUACUUGCUGAAGGAAAAAUGAAUCCAAUAAAAGCCCAGGAUGUGAUACUGUGUGACACAAGAGCCUGGCAGCUGUGCUCUGGGCAGUCUAAAACUCUCCUGGACUUGGACAGGUAUUGAUAUUUCUGAAAAAGUGCCAGCCACUACCUUGAGUAAUUUCAAUAAAUAUAUGUCCAGCAAUUCAAGAAGAAAGAAGAGCUGAAGUAAAUCCACCACCACCCUGCUGCCAGCUCGUUCCCUGCUUCACACCCUCCACCACCAAAAAUAAGUUAUCUAUGGAGCUCUGGGAUCCUUGCUAGGAAGAUAUAAAAUAUAGAGAGCACAGCUGGGAGCUCCAGCUCCAUCCUCUGAUCUUCACAGAAUAUCCUGUGGUAGAAGGGUCCAUCAGGACCAUGGAGUCCAGCUUCUGGCACAGGACACUCCAGGAGUGCCAUCAUGUGAGAGCAUUGUCCAAAUGUUCCCGGAGCUCUGGCAGGUUUGGUGCUGUGACCAUUCCCUGUGGAGCCUGGUCAGUGCCCCACCCCCCUCUGGGGGAAGAACCCAAC